rnacentral:lncRNA from 1 species
GUUUGACCUUCACAGCUCAUUAUGAUCAUUGAUCCUUAUAUGAUGAACCUGAUAAAUGAGCAACAGGAGAAGAAACUGAGGUUCAAGGACUAGUAACCAGCAGCAGAUCACACAGCUGGAAGACAACUAAGAGCAAAAAAACAGUCAGAAUAAAAGGCCAUGGAACCACAAACCUGUAGGUGAAUGCACAUCCAUUAGCAUUCCUGUAAGUACGUGUAUUUGGUGGCUUUGCUGGAGUAACAAACUACCUCAAGAUCUCAGUGUUAUAUGAAACAAAGGUUAUGCUGGAACUCAACCUCACCUGUAUACGGGUGAACCAUAAGAUGGUCCUUGCUACAUCACUAGCCUUCCCUUAUCUAGUGAUGCUGUGAACCCUCCCCAAGGGAGGUACCAAAAGCCUGCAUGAAGCAAAAACUGGAAACAAAUAAAGGAGAGUAUGGUGACUUUGCACUAAGUUACUCAUUUAUUCACAUAAUUAAUGAGUUUCUAUUAGUGUUAGGCACCGUUCUAGAUGAUGGUAUAAUUAGUUAACAAAAACCUCAAAACUCUCGCCCCCCAUGGAGCUUACAUUUCCAGGGAGGGAGAGAGAUGAUACAACAAUAAGAAAAUACAGAGCUAAUGUCAUUCUAUAUUGUAUAAUUAUGUAAAAUCAAGCCUGAGUAUUUGACAGCUUCUCAGAUACCACAGAUCUGUUGUUUAAUGAAAUCAGCCUAAAAGAUAAAAUUGUGUAUUUGCAUGUACACAUCACCUUGCCUGUAUUAUGAGUCAGCGUUUCUUCUUAUAAGAAACCACAGCUUGGUAAAAGGUAGAAGCUCAAUUUCCUAAUAAAGAGAUAUGUUUUACUAGGCAGGCUGUUGCACUGCAUAUUACUCUCUCUGACCUUGGCUUUAGUCCAAGGAGGAUUAAACCCAGAAAGAGAAGGGAGUAAAGCAAGGUGUAGCAGAAAAGCAAAACAAAACAAUACAAAAUAACCUCAAAGAAAUUAGUAACAAUAAUUAGUGCAUUCAGAGAUUAUAUCUUUCUUUCUUUUUUUCCUUUUUUUUUUUCUUUCGAGACGGAGUUUUGCUCUUGUUGCCCAGGCUGGAGUGCAACGGCGCGAUCUCAGCUCACGGCAACCUCCGCCUCCCCGGUUCAAGUGACUCUCCUGCCUCAGCCUCCCGAGUAGCUGGGAUUACAGGUGUGUGCCACCACGCCAGGCUAAUUUUGUAUUUUUAGUAGAGACAGGGUUUCUCCAUGUUGGUUAGGCUAGGCUCAAACUCCUGACCUCAGUUGAUCCGCCCGCCUCAGCCUCCCAAAGUGCUGGGAUUACAGACGUUAGCCACCGUGCCCAGCUGAGAUUACAUCUUUUUGAAAGCUAAAUAUAUAUAUAUAUAACACUGAGUGAAGGAGUUAUGUUUUCAGGUAAGGGCUACUGUUCUUGACAAUCCAUCAUCCAUCCAUCCAUCCAUCCAUCUGUGUAUUCUGGAAGGAGUGAGGAACUCAUGCAAAGACAUAAACAAGUUUACUCUCCAUAGCAAAGAGUUGCCCUGAUACAUGAUUGCUUGCAAACUUAUAUUCAAGUCCUGUGGUGUUUAUUCUGUAGGCUUUGCCAAUAUAGCUGAAUCUUAGGAAAAGACAAACCAAAACAAAAUUGUAACAUAAGCCAUAUUUGUCUUCAGUCCAGCCUUUUUUUCUGUUACUGCACAUUUCCAUACCUUUGCAUUUUCUUUGUAACCCAUAGGCUUGAGUGUUCAGUUUCUUAAAGUGGCUAGAUGUCCCUGUCCACAAUAGACAAAGUCACACCAAAAUCCUAAAAAGAGAAAAUUUGCUUCCCAUCAAAGGCCUGACAUACUUUUGCCAUGAAUGAUAUAGAAAGAUUCUAUAAUAGAUUAAAGGAAGCUCUGGGAAAUUUGUUUUAAAUACAAUCAGUCUUACAUAGACAUAUAUCUUUAAAGUCGACUGCUUGACAUUUUUUCCUUAAGAUGAAAAUUAAAUAAUGGCCCCUGUAAAAAAUCAUCAAAGGUCUCCCUUCACUGAAAAAAUAAGCAAAAUAAUGAGACUGAAGCUCAACUUCUGUUUUGCCCACCUUGAAUCCCUUUGACACACUUCCAAGUCUACCUUACAGCAGUAGGAGCGAUUCCAUAAACUGGAGAUUUAUAACAUGACAAGUCAACCCAGAU